UGGGGAAUAUUGCACAAUGGGCGCAAGCCUGAUGCAGCCAUGCCGCGUGUGUGAAGAAGGCCUUCGGGUUGUAAAGCACUUUUGGCAGGAAAGAAACGUCGCGGGUUAAUACCCCGCGAAACUGACGGUACCUGCAGAAUAAGCACCGGCUAACUACGUGCCAGCAGCCGCGGUAAUACGUAGGGUGCAAGCGUUAAUCGGAAUUACUGGGCGUAAAGCGUGCGCAGGCGGUUCGGAAAGAAAGAUGUGAAAUCCCAGAGCUUAACUUUGGAACUGCAUUUUUAACUACCGGGCUAGAGUGUGUCAGAGGGAGGUGGAAUUCCGCGUGUAGCAGUGAAAUGCGUAGAUAUGCGGAGGAACACCGAUGGCGAAGGCAGCCUCCUGGGAUAACACUGACGCUCAUGCACGAAAAGCGUGGGGAGCAAAACAGGAUUAGAUACCCUGGUAGUCCACGCCCUAAAACGAUGUCAACUAGCUGUUGGGGCCUUCGGGCCUUGGUAGCGCAGCUAACGCGUGAAGUUGACCGCCU
rnacentral:rRNA from 1 species